rnacentral:rRNA from 1 species
AAGGCUGAUGGCGACCGGCGCACGGGUGAGUAGCACGUAUCCAACCUGCCGUCUACUCUUGGCCAGCCUUCUGAAAGGAAGAUUAAUCCAGGAUGGCAUCAUGAGUUCACAUGUCCGCAUGAUUAAAGGUAUUUUCCGGUAGACGAUGGGGAUGCGUUCCAUUAGAUAGUAGGCGGGGUAACGGCCCACCUAGUCAACGAUGGAUAGGGGUUCUGAGAGGAAGGUCCCCCACAUUGGAACUGAGACACGGUCCAAACUCCUACGGGAGGCAGCAGUGAGGAAUAUUGGUCAAUGGGCGAUGGCCUGAACCAGCCAAGUAGCGUGAAGGAUGACUGCCCUAUGGGUUGUAAACUUCUUUUAUAAAGGAAUAAAGUCGGGUAUGCAUACCCGUUUGCAUGUACUUUAUGAAUAAGGAUCGGCUAACUCCGUGCCAGCAGCCGCGGUAAUACGGAGGAUCCGAGCGUUAUCCGGAUUUAUUGGGUUUAAAGGGAGCGUAGAUGGAUGUUUAAGUCAGUUGUGAAAGUUUGCGGCUCAACCGUAAAAUUGCAGUUGAUACUGGAUGUCUUGAGUGCAGUUGAGGCAGGCGGAAUUCGUGGUGUAGCGGUGAAAUGCUUAGAUAUCACGAAGAACUCCGAUUGCGAAGGCAGCCUGCU